rnacentral:lncRNA from 1 species
UGGCACUGCACCUGCCUCGAAAGCAGAAGAUCCUCGGUUCAAUUCCUGGUACAAAAAAAAAAAGUGAAACCAAAAUGUAAAAUGAAUGAUUGUUAUCACAUGAUAUUCUAGUAGGAAGCUGAUGAGACUAGGAAUGAUUCUAAUCCCUAAAACUACACUAUCAGUAGUUUUAUCAAUCUCAGAAAAAGUACUGGUGGAUGGCUGUAAUCCCAACACUCGGGAAGGCUGAGGCAGUAGGAUCCCAAGUUGAGGGCCAGUCUGGGCAACUUAAUGAGACUGUCUCAAAAUUACAAAAUGAAAAAGAGCUUGGGUGUGGCUCAGUAGUAGAGUGCUUGCCUGGCACGUGCAAGGCCUGGGUUCAAUCUCCAGUACCACCAAUCAAUGUCUAGUCACAUGAGGGUCCAGAGUAUUCUACCAGAAGGUGCCCCAUGCCACCUGGGUGUCCUCGGCGUCUGAGUCCUCAUCACAGGUGUGGCAGUGAGGACGCAGCCCCUGUGCCAAGUGGACUCCCACCACACGAAGGUCGCACCUCGAUGGCUGCGGCAUAAGCACUGGGGAGAGGGAUAGUGUUCUGUAAGCAGCCUGGGAAGAGUCGGAGACUCCCGAGGACACAAAUGCACUGCUCCGGACGACCCUAAUUCACAGUUUCCCCUUUUCCUCUUCUCCGGUGGUUUUGCAUCACAGUGUCCCGGGCCAGCGCCAGAGCUUUCAGAUACAGCUGAUUGGGAGGUGGAAUCACGCUGUGUCCACUGCUCGCCCAGCAGCAGCCGCGCCUGGGUGCCCCCUCCACCUCCCAUGGCUCUCGUGUGCCUCCAGGACGUCUCCUUCACGUCAUGGACUUGGACACCCACAGGCUGACAGUGUGAAAGAAACACACAGAUGCAUAACGUGUGGAAUGGGAAUGCUGCUGAUGGCUGAACAGGACCACGCUGACCACGCCGAACACAACAGAAGAGGAAGUGCUGCUGACGACAGAAGUUCACCAACACAGCCUUUCCUUAGAAACAGAACUCACACAUGUGAGCGACACCGACUUCCUCCCUUUUAGGGUCCAGAUUAAACCUUCAAUGACAACAAGUCUCCCACAGCCACGUG